UAUCUCUCCGUACAGGGAAGGAUGAGAAGCUUCGAUUAAGGUUCGAUUCGAGCGCAGCGAGAAAGCGUUGCCGCAGGC
rnacentral:sRNA from 1 species